rnacentral:rRNA from 1 species
CCUACGGGAGGCAGCAGUGGGGAAUAUUGCACAAUGGGCGAAAGCCUGAUGCAGCCAUGCCGCGUGUGUGAAGAAGGCCUUAGGGUUGUAAAGCACUUUCAGCGAGGAGGAAAGGGUGUAGGUUAAUACCCUGCAUCUGUGACGUUACUCGCAGAAGAAGCACCGGCUAACUCCGUGCCAGCAGCCGCGGUAAUACGGAGGGUGCGAGCGUUAAUCGGAAUUACUGGGCGUAAAGCGUGCGUAGGCGGCUUGUUAAGUUGGAUGUGAAAGCCCCGGGCUCAACCUGGGAACUGCACCCAAAACUGGCAAGCUAGAGUGCGGAAGAGGAGUGUGGAAUUUCCUGUGUAGCGGUGAAAUGCGUAGAUAUAGGAAGGAACACCAGUGGCGAAGGCGACACUCUGGUCUGACACUGACGCUGAGGUACGAAAGCGUGGGGAGCAAACAGGAUUAGAUACCCUGGUAGUCCACGCCGUAAACGAUGUCUACUAGUCGUCGGGACUCUUGCAGUCUUGGUGACGCAGCUAACGCGAUAAGUAGACCGCCUGGGGAGUACGGCCGCAAGGUUAAAACUCAAAUGAAUUGACGG